rnacentral:rRNA from 1 species
AGGCCAAACCAAAUUGUUUACAGUUUGGGGUUGUGGACCACCGACAUUGACGAAGUUAUGCGAGCCGAAUAGGGUUGGAAAGCUCAAGCAGAGAAGGUAAUACUCCUGUAGGCGAAGCAGAAAGCGCAUAGGUGGCACCAGAGUAGGACCGGACACGUGUAACCCGGUCUGAAGCAGGAGGGACCACCCUCCAAGCCUAAAUACUACCCAGUGACCGAUAGCGAAUAGUACCGUGAGGGAAAGGUGAAAAGAACCCCGGGAGGGGAGUGAAAUAGAAUCUGAAACCUGAUGCUUACAAGCAUAGGGAGCGCAAGUGACCUAGUACUUUUUGUAGAACGGGCCAACGAGUUAUGGUAUGUAGCGAGGUUAAGUUGCUGGAGCAACGGAGCCGUAGAGAAAUCGAGUCUGAAUAGGGCGAGAGUUACAUGCUGUAGACCCGAAACCGGGUGACCUAUCCAUGAGCAGGUUGAAGUAACCGUAAAAGGUUAUGGAGGACCGAACCUAUAUCUGUUGAAAAAGGUUAGGAUGACUUGUGGAUAG